rnacentral:lncRNA from 1 species
GGGUAUUUACUUAUAUUAUAUAUUUACUUAUUAUUUAUUUUUAUUUAUAUUGUAUAUUUCUAUUUCUUAUACUUUCUAUUUACUAAUAAUUUUAUAUUUUAAGAUAGAUUUACAUUUUAAGAUAGAUGUUUAAAUACUAAUGUACUUUUUCUAUUUUUUUAAAUUGUGUAUUUCCUUUUGUUAUAUUUUCUAUUUGCGUGAUAUCUAUAUUUUAUAUUUUAAGAUAGAUGUUUAAAUCUUAAUAUAAUUUUUUCCAUUGUUUUUAAGUUGUGUAUUUCUUUUUCUU